ACACAUGCAAGUCGAACGGCAGCGGGGGUAGCUUGCUACCUGCCGGCGAGUGGCGAACGGGUGAGUAAUACAUCGGAACGUGCCCUGUAGUGGGGGAUAACUAGUCGAAAGACUAGCUAAUACCGCAUACGACCUGAGGGUGAAAGUGGGGGACCGCAAGGCCUCAUGCUAUAGGAGCGGCCGAUGUCUGAUUAGCUAGUUGGUGGGGUAAAGGCCCACCAAGGCGACGAUCAGUAGCUGGUCUGAGAGGACGAUCAGCCACACUGGGACUGAGAACACGGCCCAGACUCCUACGGGAGGCAGCAGUGGGGAAUUUUGGACAAUGGGGGCAACCCUGAUCCAGCAAUGCCGCGUGUGUGAAGAAGGCCUUCGGGUUGUAAAGCACUUUUGUCCGGAAAGAAAUCGCACUGGUUAAUACCUGGUGUGGAUGACGGUACCGGAAGAAUAAGGACCGGCUAACUACGUGCCAGCAGCCGCGGUAAUACGUAGGGUCCAAGCGUUAAUCGGAAUUACUGGGCGUAAAGCGUGCGCAGGCGGUUGUGCAAGACCGAUGUGAAAUCCCCGGGCUUAACCUGGGAAUUGCAUUGGUGACUGCACGGCUAGAGUGUGUCAGAGGGAGGUAGAAUUCCACGUGUAGCAGUGAAAUGCGUAGAGAUGUGGAGGAAUACCGAUGGCGAAGGCAGCCUCCUGGGAUAACACUGACGCUCAUGCACGAAAGCGUGGGGAGCAAACAGGAUUAGAUACCCUGGGUAGUCCACGCCCUAAACGAUGUCAACUAGUUGUUGGGGAUUCAUUUCCUUAGUAACGUAGCUAACGCGUGAAGUUGACCGCCUGGGGAGUACGGUCGCAAGAUUAAAACUCAAAGGAAUUGACGGGGACCCGCACAAGCGGUGGAUGAUGUGGAUUAAUUCGAUGCAACGCGAAAAACCUUACCUACCCUUGACAUGCCACUAACGAAGCAGAGAUGCAUUAGGUGCUCGAAAGAGAAAGUGGACACAGGUGCUGCAUGGCUGUCGUCAGCUCGUGUCGUGAGAUGUUGGGUUAAGUCCCGCAACGAGCGCAACCCUUGUCUCUAGUUGCUACGAAAGGGCACUCUAGAGAGACUGCCGGUGACAAACCGGAGGAAGGUGGGGAUGACGUCAAGUCCUCAUGGCCCUUAUGGGUAGGGCUUCACACGUCAUACAAUGGUGCAUACAGAGGGUUGCCAAGCCGCGAGGUGGAGCUAAUCCCAGAAAAUGCAUCGUAGUCCGGAUCGUAGUCUGCAACUCGACUACGUGAAGCUGGAAUCGCUAGUAAUCGCGGAUCAGCAUGCCGCGGUGAAUACGUUCCCGGGUCUUGUACACACCGCCCGUCAC
rnacentral:rRNA from 1 species